UCAGCUGCUCACAUCUCUCUCUCUUUCGCUUGAUUCCGGCGUCGCGCCGCCGCGCCGCUCCGCCUGCAAUCGCCCGCGGAAGUCGCCGCCGUCUGGAGUUGCUGCCACCGUCGCCAGCUGGAGCGUCGGCAGCGGCUGCUGCCGCUCCUGGUUCGCCGCCGCCUCUGGCGGACGCCACCGCCCCUGAGCUUUUGACGAGGCUAUAGACGUCAUUCACUCCUUAGUUCUUUCCGCUUUCGAACUCAAGGGAUGGGUCUUCUUUCGCUGUCUUCUGGGUUCCGGCUGAGAAGGGUAGGCCGUCGCUGCUGUCCUCCUCGGAGUCGACGGGCCUGACUCUUCACCUCGCCGUUGCUUCUUUACUCAUAUUCCGGCGAGGCAGCAAGGACUCGUCGUCGUUCCCUUGGUUCGACUGAACAGGCUGAACUCAAGAAAAAAAAUGGAGAAGUUUAAGUUGAGCUUACCUCUUGGGGUCCAGAUUGCAGCUGAAAUAAACUCUCUAUGAUUUUUGGUGCAUAAAGGAUGGAGUAGAUUUGCUGCUGUGAUGAAGAAGGUGAAUGAGGAUGGUUUUAUACUGAACUUAUGGAGAGCUGAUUAGUGUGAAAAGAUGAUGAAUAGUACGGCUAAAUUGUAGAGCGUGGUUGAAGAAUUUAAAGAUGAGAGUUGCUGUUGACAUUCUUGAGAUUUGUUUGCUGAAUUCUUUUUGAUUA